AUAUUAAUUGGUGCAUAUUUUUAUCGAAUUUAAAAAAUGAUUUGAAGUGAGUAGUUAAUACUAUGAGCAAAAUAGAAAAAAAUAAAUUAUCUUAUCUUGAUAUGAUAAAAGUGACAAGUAAAAGUGAAAAUCUAUUUUGAAAAUACUGAACAAAUAAAAAUGAACGGAGGAAAUAUUUCUUAAUAAUAAAAGUGAGCCAUCCUUUGGAUGGUUUAUAUAGCAGCAGCCAGAGAGAGAGUGCAUGGGACACUAGCAGUGGAUAUAUAUAAAAGAUUUAAAAGAAUAACUUUUUAUAUUUAAACAAUUUAAAAGCCCUAUAUAUGUUGCCUUCCAUCAACCAAGAAAAUGGACUCACACAAUUAGCUCUUCAAACUCUGUAAACAUGGCCAACAAGUUCUUAUUUUGUGUUCUCCUUAUCACACUCACUGUUAAUUUAUUUUGGUCCUCAAACACUCAAGUGAUGGCUCUGCGAGACCUACCUUUAUCAGAAGAAGUACAAGUGAUUGAGCAGGUUGUACAACUCCGAGGAGGAAAGCGUUGUUUCUCCACUUGCUAUUCUCAUGCAGAAUGCGCUAAGCCGUGUACUCUAUGCAGGCAGGCGAAACCUCAUUAUGACCCUGAAAGGAAAUGCUUUAAGCCAAAGUGAUCCAUAUAUUCCAAUCUCAUAUCAUUAAAUGUCUUCUCUAUGUAUUUUAUUUUCUUCCUGCACCUUCUGAGCUUUGUGUCGUUUAUAAAACGACUAGUUGGUGAUGACCCUUGUCGUUAUAUAUGGCCCCAAUGUUAUAAAGUUGGAAUGAUGAUAUAAUGGUUGUAUUUGCUUUAA